rnacentral:lncRNA from 1 species
UGAUAAUGUAAUAGGCGAGCGCACACUGUUCGUGGUUGAUCCGACUAAACGAGGUAGUCGGGAUUAUGUUGGCGCAAAUAAACGUCAACCAUGCCUUGCCUUCAUAAUUGAUGCUUUUCCAACUGAGCUCAUACGUCCCCUUGUCCGGGUAUUCAAUCCAUCUUGGAUGUCCAUCACUCAACACUUCACCAAUUUUCUCUUUGGUGACUUCGUUGCUCAUCUCUCGCCAACUUUGACCCAAAUACGGGAGCCCGUAAUAUUGAUUUAUAUCAUUCGUCUCCCAACUAACAUAAAAUUUUCAUACCACACUUGUGAAGUCUGGUGGAUGCUUGAGUACCAACGUGUUCGCAUAAAACUCUCGCACGAUUGAGAUGUUGUAAAUUGACUCCGGUUCACACAACCUUUGCCAUCCUCGUCUUAUGAUUUCUUGGUUAAGAUUG